CCCCUAGAUGUUCUGGGCCGCACGCGCGCUACACUGAACAGUUCAACAAGUCUUAACCUUGGCCGAUAGGUCUGGGUAAUCUUUGAACGCUGUUCGUGAUUGGGAUAGACCUUUGCAAUUAUGGGUCUUCAACGAGGAAUUCCUAGUAAACGCAAGUCAUCAGCUUGCAUUGAUUACGUCCCUGCCCUUUGUACACACCGCCCGUCGCACCUACCGAUUGAAUGGUCCGGUGAAAUCUCGGGACGGCGGCUUGGUCGCUUGCGUCCGACUGCUGAAACUUGAUUAAACCAUAUCCUUUAGAGGAAGGUGAAGUCGUAACA
rnacentral:rRNA from 1 species